rnacentral:rRNA from 1 species
AACGAACGCUGGCGGCGUGGAUAAGACAUGCAAGUCGAACGGGGCAGGUAGCAAUAUCUGUUCAGUGGCGGACGGGUGCGUAACACGUGAACAAUCUGCCCGGAAGAGGGGGAUAGCCCAGGGAAACUUGGAUUAAUACCCCAUGUGGUUUGUGAGGGCCUCCUCAUGAUACCAAAGGUGCUGCAAGGUGCCGCUUCCGGAUGAGUUCGCGUCCUAUCAGCUAGUUGGUGAGGUAACGGCUCACCAAGGCAAUGACGGGUAGCUGGUCUGAGAGGAUGACCAGCCACACUGGAACUGAGACACGGUCCAGACACCUACGGGUGGCAGCAGUCGAGAAUCAUUCACAAUGGGCGAAAGCCUGAUGGUGUGACGCCGCGUGGAGGAUGAAGGUCUUCGGAUUGUAAACUCCUGUCAAGUGAGAGUAAAGUUGGGCGUUAACUGCGUGCCAAUAUGAGAGUAUCACUAGAGGAAGAGAC